rnacentral:lncRNA from 1 species
AUUAAUCGUUUUAUGCUGCUUUUUCUUAUUUAGUGACAUGUCCACUAGAAAGUAUUUAUCCGGUAGUAAUAAAAGGAAGAGAAAAAAGCAAAUAGAUGAAGGGGUAAAAUCCCUAAAGGGAGCACUUGACAAAUUUUUCAGAACUAGUAUUGAGAAAGAUAAGUUAGAUGACAUAAAUAUUGAUGCAAUAAUCGACGACUUUGCUUCUAGAAUUGAUAGACGAAUUUCCAAGUUCUAGUAUAGACGUGAAAUCAGUUUGCUUUACAAUGCCUUGUGCAAGAAUGUUUGGAAGAAUUGAGUUAUUAUCUGAUUGAGGAAAUUUGGAGUGAAGGACAUGGCCAAUUGGGGAGGAUCCAUAAACAGAUGCAAUUUUAUCUGAUGGUAACACAAAAGAUCUAAGUAGCAACCAAUCUUGACAGGAUUUUUUGUUUUGCAGAACAAAAUGAAGUCUCCUUUCAAAUUUAGGAAUGCGGGCUUUUGUGGAAAGAGAGCUUUUGUCGAACUGCAUCAUUUCAUUACUAUCAUGGUGUAGUUCACUUGAUCAUUUCAUUUCAAAUUGUACUGUCAGUUUUAGAGUCCAAAUAAAGAUCAUCUGGCUAUGUUGUGUACUGGAUAUUUACUUUGCUUUUGAAAUAGAAAAUGUUUUGAGUUUUUG